UGGCUCAGAUGGUAAAGCGUCUGCCUGCAAUGCAGGAGACCCGGGUUCGAUUCCUGG
rfam:Ovis aries breed Texel chromosome 6, whole genome shotgun sequence.